UACGGAGGGUGCGAGCGUUAUCCGGAUUCACUGGGCGUAAAGGGCGCGUAGGCGGCGCGGAAAGUCAACGGUGAAAGCUCGGGGCUCAACCCCGAGUCGGCCGUCGAUACUUCUGUGCUCGAGCACUGUAGAGGCAGGUGGAAUUCCGGGUGUAGCGGUGGAAUGCGUAGAGAUCCGGAAGAACACCGGUGGCGAAGGCGGCCUGCUGGGCAGUGAGCUGACGCUGA
rnacentral:rRNA from 1 species